UACGGGGGGGGCAAGCGUUGUUCGGAAUUACUGGGCGUAAAGGGCUCGUAGGUGGCCAACUAAGUCAGACGUGAAAUCCCUCGGCUUAACCGGGGAACUGCGUCUGAUACUGGAUGGCUUGAGUUCGGGAGAGGGAUGCGGAAUUCCAGGUGUAGCGGUGAAAUGCGUAGAUAUCUGGAGGAACACCGGUGGCGAAGGCGGCAUCCUGGACCGAUACUGACGCUGAGGAGCGAAAGCUAGGGGAGCAAACGGG
rnacentral:rRNA from 1 species